GCCUCCUUAGCUCAGUGGUAGAGCAACGCACUUGUAAUGCGUAGGUCGUCAGUUCAAUCCUGACAGGGGGCU
rfam:Mycobacterium sp. GA-1999 GCID_NTM_00005_NODE_1.ctg_1, whole genome shotgun sequence.